GCCGGAGUGGCUCAGCCUGGUUUCAGAGCGCAAGACUCAUAAUCUUGAGGUCGUUGGUUCAAAUCCGACCUCCGGCA
rnacentral:tRNA from 1 species